CGCCCCUGCUGCUGCUGCUCCCCUGCGCACCCGCCCCCACUGCCAGUCUCAUCCAGGCCGCCAAACCCCAGGACGGCCUGCAGAGCCUACUCCCAGCUCCUGAGGCAGGAACCGGUCCUGCUUCCUGCUGUGUUGCCUGAUGCUUACCAGAGAGCGUGGCUCACGCUUAGUUCUCAAAAACAGCUCGUUGUCGAGAAUUGAGUUGAGUUGAGUCCACGGCUGACUGGAGGGACGCCCUCUCUGACGCCCCAGCGCCAGGCUUCCGCGUCAGUAUUUCCUAAAACGGUGAUCACGUGAGACUGUUUAAAGAUGCUACAGUCCUGUCAUCCUAAUGCUGAAAAUUGAAGAUAGCACACACAUGGAUGGAGAGUAAGGAAGAAACCUAUCCUGGACAGAUGUUCCUUUCUUCUAGUCUGGUUUUGAUCUGCUGCAAGACUCUGAUUUGCUGACAAAGGCAUCUCAAAAGGUUCAUUCACGGUGGAGCCACCACUCCUGAGGACCUCACCCAGAAUGGAGCUCGCCUGGGGGAAAAAUCCACAAGCCACCCCUACAGAGGCCAGAGCACGGGGGCCUGUGUCCAGAGGGAGAAGCAGGUCGCUAGUGUCAGAUGCUAAUGGAUGACUGACUUACAAUCCUUUCUGCCCAGAUGACGGGUUCUAGCCUUUAUGGUUGCAAAGAAACCUGCGUAGGCUCUUACUGCCGUGUGUGCAUGCUCAAGAGGAAGGGGGAGCAGGUUUGGGGUUCACUCAGGAGGAGGGAAACUGCUUUCCGUAAGGACGAGUGUGGUCCCCGAAGGUGGUAAAGCCAGCAGGGCACUGGGGCAGUGGUGUGACGGUGAGCACCAACAACCGGCUCUCUGAGUGAACACAAAGCCCUCAAUGAUAGCAUUUGCCAGUUUCUAUGGUGUCAAUAAGCCUGCUCUGGUCCAUCUAAAGCUACCAAUGUGAUGUGAACCGGCUCACAAAAUCCUUGAAAAGUCAAGAACUGGCUCUCAGGAGCCAGUAGGAGCCACACCUCCAGCCCUCCAUCUUCACAGACGGUGCCGUCUUCUGCUUCUCAUCUCCUCAGACCGUUUGGAACCGACAUCAUCCAGGCCUUCCUGCAAAGACCUGGGGCAGGCGGGAAAGGACGCUGCAGCCACGGCCAGUGGGUGGAAGGGCUGUUCUGGUGAGAAAAAGCUGACAGGCCUGACGUCUGAAGUUCUGCAGAAGGCAGAUAAAGGACAGAAUCAUAAUUUCACAAUCAUCUGCCUUGAGUCUUAGAAGGCACACUUUAGAGCAGUAAUCGCGAGAGAUCCUGAUGCAGGUCAUUGUGGGUCAAGGCUUCUGUGGAAGGAAAUUGGCGCAGCUGGUCUGGUCUCCUGAAGCUUCUCAUAGAUUUCAGAAAAGGGUCCCCGGGGGUCUGGUCUCCCCUUGAGCAAGUCACUUGGAAUGGAGGGGACUCAUCGCUCUUCAGACCCACUGGAAGGCGGGGGGUUCCCUCUUCCCCAUACUCCUUCGAGGCCACCCUCUGUGGGGCUGAGGUCACCGUAACAGAACAGAGCUCUUCAGAUCUCUUCCACUCCUCAGAAAAGACCACUCCCCGUGGCCCUGACCCCACUGGUGCACACAGUCAAUGCCUUUUAGGUCACUGGCAUGCAGCUCUUCAACGGAGUUGUGGCAACAUCUCUCUGUGGUUUUUUUCACUAAAGUGUUACUGUUUGCUAUACAUCAGUUUCCGUUGACCAUAUUUGGGAUGCAUGAUGCCCAGUUACCUGAAAAUGAGGUGCCAGGGAUCCGAUUAUUUACAAAAGUGGCCUUCCCCACUGGGAAAUAAAUUGGGAUCUGGAAAAAUCUUAGGCCGUGGGCAACACUUGUCUCCCACACCUCACGUUUCCCGGAAAGGGAUUUUGAUAACUUCCAGGAAGUAUGGACUGCCUUCCCACGCCCUCCGCCCUUUGCUCACCUGGCCACACAGUGCUGCUGAGCUCACAGAAGGCACUGAGUACUCCAGGCAGACCCCACCCAGUCUCCCCGAGGGGCAGCCGGUCCUCAGGUCCUUCUCCCUUCCCUCACAGAAGACCCCUGGCUGGCAGGCACACGUGGGCAGCCCAUGUGGUCCCAGCUCCAGGUGGUGCCUCCCAUUCAGUAUUCGUCGUAAUGAAGCUGGUAUUGUCACUUCCACAUGUCUGACUCCUGUGUGUGUGUCUCUGGAUCGCAAACUCAGCACGGGAAGAGAAAGGUGUUGACUGCCUUCCACGGGCCCCCAGAUGUGCGUUGUUAUGGACACUGGCUGCAUACGUGAGUGUCUGCGUCAGCUUCAACAUCUUUGCUCUGCUCCAUCCUCCG
ensembl:lncRNA